UUUUUUUUAAAAUUCAACUGCUAUCAGCUUAGGGAUCAGUUUAAUUAGUAGUCGAUUAGUAAUGGCCACCAGCAGUCCAUAAACACAAACCAUGUGGGUUGAUAGCCUCUAGGAAAGGAUUGAAGUCAAAGAUGAAGAGUGUGGGGUAAGAGGGAAACAGGACAAUGCACAUUUUGGCUUAAUGGGCAAUGUGCCAUAAGGGUAUUGCAUGAAUCU